rnacentral:lncRNA from 1 species
CUACAAACACUUCGAAUUAGCAUUUCUUUGAAGAGGGAAGGUAGUAUUGUAUUUUCUACAUCCAGUUCACUCCUCUCUGCCGUGCUUUUAUUUCUUAGAAACCAGAAUGAAAGAAAUUUCAGUCUAACUUGUCAGUUUAAAAUGCCAGUAGUUGAGGAUGGUAAAGGAAUCUUUUAACUACUAAUAUUGCUUCCUGCUAUUGCUGCAAUUUUUGCUUAUGCAGUAAGAGUGUUUUCAUGUAUUCAUCCAAAAAAGAAAAAAAGGUGUUGAUGCAUGUAAGAGGCGGUGGCUCCUUCUACUGAGCUGGGUCCAAUCAUAUCCUUCUUCCUUCCCCUAACCAUAAGUCAUUGCUGCAGAGGUUAUUGAAGCCACUGAAUGUUUUACAGCCAUAUCGAAUGCAGAGGUGUAAGUUGUCGACUGUCUGACUGUUUGAAUGUCUGUUCUUUGCAGUAGCCUUCUUGAUUUGGGUUUUUUCCAAAACUCUGCAUCUGCUUCAUUACUUGUGAGCUAACAGUGACAGUGCAGAUUUUAUUUCUUGCCUAGCUUGGUGUAACUCCUAUGCAGAGAUGGCGGGUUUCUUGGUGCUAGGUAAAAGCUGAUCAAUUCAAGAUACAAUCAUCUAGCUACAGAUGUGGCUCUGGCAACGAAUCCUAUUUCACUAUAGGCUGCUUCAUAUACAGCAUAGGAUUAGCCUUUUAUGAAUUCUGAAUGACUUGGUAUUAUUCCUUGUUUAUAGUCGGGAUGAAUUAUGCAGUAUUCCCAGUAAUUCUUUGUAGCUAGCGAGGAAAUGAUGAUCUUGAACUUCUAUAGAUGUGUUUUUGAGCUUCUGUCAUUUUCUGGUCUGGAAGGCAUUCCUUGGUGUGAUACCUUUUCAUUGUGUCAUUGACGCUGUUGCUUGAGUAAGUUUAUCAGGUACCCUUUUUGUUACUUUUUGACACUUGAAACUUUGUCUGUAUGUGCUCAUACUGAUGCAAGGUAAUGUUAUGUCUUCCACCGUUUGAAUGCCUUUCUUCUGAAGCUUUGAAAUCUUUUAAAAUGGUUGAUUGUAUUUCAGGAAUUGAUUUGGCCCCACGUUUUUUGGUAUAUGCUAGGGGACUUUGUGAAUAGUUGUCCUCUAUUGGAGAUGUGUCUUUAUGAUAAGCGGCCACCACUUGCCCAGAAUUUGUAUAAGGUGCCAGUAUUCAUUUGCAUCUGACAUUAUAUUAUGUCAGCUCUUGUGAGUUUCACCCUUUACUAACAACAACAACAACAUGCCCAGUGUAAUUCCAUGAGUAGGGUCUAGUAUUGUGUACGCAAACCUUACCCUCUAUCUUGUGAAGGUGUUUCCGAUAUACCCUCGGCUCAAGGCGUUUCAUCCUUUACCAAAAAAGAAAAAUUGAAUUGGUUAGAUUUUUCCAAUAUAUUCAACUUGAGGCCAAUAUAUUCAUGUUAUUAGGUUUACUUCCUAAUGACAAGUGUCACAUUUUUGUGAUUGUUGAAUACUGAUUGGCUUUACAAUUACGUAAAAUUUCAAGAAGUGCAAAUUGCUUCUGAUCUGUAAUGGAGGCGGCUAAGUCCUAAGGUGUGGGUGGUUUGGUAGUUCAAAUGAUCGGUCGGAAUAGGCACAUAAGAACUCUAGUUGGAUAUUGUGAAAGAAUCUCCGCAUUCAACCCAAAACCUUAAUGCAAUAGGUAAGAGUAUUCUAGGUCAUCAGACAUCAUUGUAAAUCCUUGAUGCAACCAAUGAAUGAGAAGU